CACAUCCCACUGGUGCCACACAAGCAACGGGUACAGGAAUGCCCUUCUCUUUUACAACACUGCCUGCUGUGCUGACGUGAUGACUCCUGAAGGGAGUUAAAGGCAUUUUCCGGACAGGGCUGCCCUGCAAGCAAAAACUCUUCGGAAUGCUACCCCAGUGACUUACAACCUACCUCCAAAUAAAUAGCUCCACUCCAAUCAAGCCAGAGGAAGUUAGUCAACAUCUCUCUCUCCACGACCCUGGGGAUUUUCUAGGACUAAGACCAUACAGACCACCAUCUAUGAAAACCAAGCAUUUCCUAGCCCUGUGUUCAUCACAUCAAUAUAACAUGUCAAGUACUGUAAUGGACAUUUUUAUCUCUUAACAGUAACAGGAAGAGUUGACAAUAUACAUAAAUGUAUUAUCUGAUUUAAUCAAGAUGGUUUUAACAAACGUAUGAGAUAUUCUUCCUUUUAUUUACAAAUAUUUUUUGCUUUUUUUUACAAAGUGAAAUCUUGAAUAAUUUGUCCAGUGUAACUCUCCAUACUAUUACAGUAAACUUCAGUCUUUCAUUUUUUGUUCUCAGUGUAAAUGGAAGAUAGGCAGUAGUUAGCUCAGGGCUAAUCUUCCUCAAAAAUAAAAUAAAAUAAAAAGUCA
rnacentral:lncRNA from 1 species